GAUCUUCUUUAGGCCAUAGCCAGCUUCAUGUGGUUGGUAGCUCAGAGAAUACAUACAGUAGGCAGAGAGAUACAUUGAUGGGAGGCAGUAAAAGGGAUGAGUUGCAGCAGCGUUUGGAGCUCUGGUUUUACUUCUAGCCUUACUCCAAACCCAUCCUCUCUGCAGUGUAGUAUGUGAAACGACUGCUUUCUCUUUUUCCUUAUGUUAAUAUAAGUUGGUUUUAUUUGAACACUAUAGAGUUAUGACUUGGUAGAAUAAAAUUAAGGUUAACGUUGAGACCCUCCAAAACUUUCUUCUAUGAAUAUAGCUGUAUAAAUACGAUGCUUCUCAACUUAUGGAGGGGUUAUGUCCUGAUAAACCCAUUGUAAGUUGAAAGUGUUGUAAGCAGAAAAUGUAUUUAAUACGCCUAACCUACCAAACAUCUUGGCUUAGCCUAGCCUAACUUAACAUUCUCAGAACACUUAAAUUAGCAUACAGCUGGGCAAAAUCAUCUAACACAAAGCCUAUUUUUAAUAACGUGUUGGAUAUCUUAUGUAACUUAUUGAAUAUUUGACUGGAAAGGAAAAACCGUGAUUCUAUGGGUACUCAAAGUAUGGUUUCCCCUGAAUGUGUCUUGCUUUUGCACCAUCAUAAAGUUGAAAAAUAGUUAAGUGGAACUAUCAUAAAUCUGGGACUGUCUUUCUACAUUUUUUUGGGUCUAAAUAGUGUCACACUGUUAGCUCACAGCAAAGAAGAGGCCAACUAACAUCCCAGACAUUUUUCAAAUAAAUUGCUGUCAAGUAAUAACGCGGCCUUUUUGCAAUGGGCAUUUAAUUCUUUCAACUAAAUGCAAGAUUUUAUCUUUAUCUUUCUUAAAUUCCAUCUUCUUAGUUAUGGCCCAGUAUUCUCACUUAUGAAAAGUUUGAACACUGAUUUUUGUCAUUUAUCAUAACAUCUCUCCCUUCUGAGUUUGUGUCAUCUACAAAUUUGAUAUACAUGUGUUUUAUAUUUUCAUUCAUGUCUACAAGUUAUACAUGUUUAUAAUGUUCAAAAAAAUGAGUGUUUUUGAUCUUGCAAUUUCCCUUCUAGGCAUGUGUCAUUUCACAUCUGCAUAAAAAGACAUGCUGAAGGAUGUUCCUUGCAGAAUGGUUAUAGAGAAAAAUGGGAAUAACCACGAUAUAAAGUAACAGGAUUUCAACAGUGAAGGAGACCUGAGAAACCAUAAAAUCAAUCUCUCAAAUUGAAGUUGAAAAAAGC
rnacentral:lncRNA from 1 species